UGUUAUUCUUCGCGACGUGCGGACGUUAUGCUCGUCGUGUGACUGUGUGACUUUGCUGUUCGACCAUGGUACGCCCCAUCGCGACUUAAAUCAUAAGUUGAGUGUUAUUCUUCGCCAAGUUCGGACGUUAUUGCUCUACGUGUGACCGUGCGACUUUGCUGUUCGACCAUGGCUCGCCUCAUCGGAAGCUCGCCACAUCGAAAGUUCACCGGGUUGCACCUAGCGAGAGACCGCCGCCAUCUUUCCUGCGCAUACCGGCUAACCUCGACCACCAC